UGAAACAAUGGUGCUAGAGGAGAGUG
rnacentral:piRNA from 1 species